AUUUCUAGUAUACGAAAUAUUUUUCUCGUUUGCAGUUGUUAGUACGACAAGUCAUCUUUGAAGUAAGACGAUAUAUACUCAAAAGACCACAACUACCACAGUAAGUAACCUAAGUUUAUGUACUAUUUAAAACACGAGCAGAAGUGCUUAUUAGAUAUAAAACAUGAGGCGCAAGUUUUGGCAUCGCUUUAUAUUCGCUGAGUGAGUUUGUUCGUUAGUUUAUAUUAUUAAAUUAUUUGUUGUUUAUGUCGAUAUAUGAGCUGUACAUGUUGUUGUUGAUCGUAUUUACAGUAUAACUAGGGUAUUUAAUUUCGCGAAGUUUUUUAGUCCCGCGACUUUACUAAUUUAAUAAUGUCCAUACUAAGGUGUUGUGAUUGUAAUAUUGGCAUGCAGAGAUGCCAACGUGCAAAGACAGGAGGUCGGGUUGAUGUUUAGUGCGGGCGGGAGAAGAGAGGGCGUCGUUAAAUAAACACUGUAAGGACUCUUUUCCACUCAUCGCAGAAACCAACUUAUAAGCUCGCUGUCACGCAGUGCUUGUAUCUAUUUAAAAUAAACUGCCGAGUAUUGUGAUUGGUUGAAAGAACUCGCAGCGAGCUUGUCAGUUGAGUCUGGCAAUAAAUAGAAAAGAGACUUAAUACUUUACGGGGUUAACACGUACAACGAAAUUUAGCCAUGUCCUUUGAAGGCAGAGGUGGUUAUGAUAGAGUAUCAUGGCUAUAUUUAGAUAGUCACCCUUCAUGUGCACCCGAAGAAACUACAGGGUGUAUAAAAAAACUGAACAGAUUUAAAAUUGCUCUCAAUUUCGCAAAACAGCUAUUUGUAUCCGUUUUUUUAUAUAUAUAGCCUCUUUGGGUACUUAUAAUGUAGAAUUAUGAGAAAAAUUUCUCGAACUCAAAUUUUGUGAACCAGGGGGGGGGGUGUCUUUUCCAACAAACUAAAAAUGGCUCGCGCACAAAAUUUAAAAGCUGCAAUCAUAAUUUGAGUUAACAGAUGGAAAAUCUGUCGGGUUUUUAAUUACUGUACAAAAUUUCAGACAAUUUGGUUUAGUUUAAGCCCCUUAACUAUUCACGCAAAGUUACAUUUUUCCUAAAAAUCAGCUAUUUGCAUGCUUAAUUAAUGCAUUUUCCUAAUUUGCAUAUGUCAGCAAUAUGCAAAUUAGGUAAAGGCAUUAAUUAAGCAUGCGAAAGGCUGACUUUUUAGAACAAAAUGAAUAGUUAAAGGGCUUAAACUAAACCAAAUUGUCUGAAAUUUUGUACAGUAAUUAAAAACCCGACAACUUUUCCAUCUAUUAACUCAAAAUAUGAUUACAGCUUUUAAAUUUUGUGCGCGGGCCAUUUUUAGUUUGUUGGAAAAGACACACCCCCCUGGUUCACAAAAUUUGAGUUUGAUAAAAUUUUUUCAUUAUUUUACAUUAUAAGUACACAAAGAAGCUAUAUAUAUAAAAAACCGGAUACAAAUAGGUGUUUUGCGAAAUUGAGAGCAAUAUCAAAUCUGUUCAGUUUUUUUUAUACACCCUGUAUAUAUUGGCCCCAUGACACUCUGCGCAUGUCUGGAUGCGUUGAUGGCCCGUGCUGUGCACACUGAACUAUAUAACAUGGCAGGCUGACUCCAGCUCAAAAAGUGAAGCAAAACAUGGCGGAAAUUGAAGGCAUUCUUGCAGGUCAGUUUCAGUCCCCUUACGUGCGCGGUCAACUAAACUUACAUUUUUCUUUAUUUUCCGAGUAAACACCUGGUAAAAACAGACGAAAUUGGAAUGAAAAGUUGAAUUCUGGUGUUUUGUUUGGGUUCAGUUCUAAAUUUUAAAUAUUAUUUAUUUAAAAGACGCGAUAUUUUAGUGGGAAGGAAGCAAAAUAGAGCGGGAUUGUUGUUUUUUGUAAAUGACAAAGAGUGACAAAACAAAACACAAAUGUCACUCAAUGUUUCAAAAUAUCUCUAUUGCCCCUAUGCACGAAUCGCGAAAUUCGGGCAGAAAUCACAGUUAAAGAAAAACAUGUAGCUGUGACUGGAUGAUUUAACCAGUUUCAUAUUAUUCUGACACUGCAAUCGAGCACUCGGCAACGAAAAAUUCGUUGGCUCAAUGAAACGCUAAUAUGAAACUGUUUUUUUGUAUCUCUGAGGAUGGUUUUGAAAUAGAAAUGAAACACUGCGCGUCCUCUAAGACAAGCGUUUUAACGCUUAAAAGUCGUCACGAAAAUAUUUCGUGCACUUAAUUGGAUAAGACUCGCUACCAAUCCCUGUUGACUCGAUAGCUCAAUGGGUAGAGCGGCGGUCUAGGUACCCGAAGAUGCGAGUUCAAAUCCCGCUCGAGUCAACGAAUUUUUCGUUGCUCGAUUGUAGUGUCAGAAUAAUAUGAAACUGGUUUUUCGUAUCUCUGAGGAUGGUUCUGAAAUGGUUGAUUUAAAAUAUGCGUAUUUAAGUAUCGAAAUGUUCACUCAUGCAUUCAUGAUUACAUAUUACUACAAUACAACACGAAUGCAUGACUGAACAUUUGAAUACUUUAAUGCGCAUAUUUAAAUCAUCCAGCCACAGCUACAUGUUUUUCUUUGAAUUCGGGCUUUGCCCGACUCAGAACGCGUCAUUGGGAUGCGCAAUCGAAUUUCGCGAUUCCUGUAUUGACAAGAGUUUCACACACUCAUUAAAAUAAACGUGAGUUUAAUUAAGUUUAUAAGGCAAUCAUCAAAGUGAUUUUAUUAAAUAGAAAAUAAAAAACAAAAUUUUCUUACGUAUGGAAUUAAAUUGGCUAGAAACUGCAGUCAAAAAGCAACGGACUAAACUGAACGCCAAUAAUGGUGUGAAAACUGAAAAGCACCAUAGAAACAAGAAAGCGAAACAACCAAAGUAAAACUAAAUUCCCAAUUUAUAAAAAUACAGAUUUAUUUAAAAAAAAACAAAAAAAGUUUGAAUUUAGUUGUUGAAUUCGCAACGAAAAAUACAGAUUUACUCACAUAUAUACAGUGGGAAAAUGCAGUAGACAGAUCGAGUAGAUGAAGGAAAUCAGGUUUACAUGAAAUAAAUGAAGUUCAUUUCCUUUUUUGCUCUUUUAAAAUGAAGAAAAACAGAACCCGAGAGUCACGACCCAUCAUUUCCCGCCAUAAAAAUAUAAAAAAUAUUUGGCCGCGUGGGUAAGGAGACUGAAAAUGAUGCGCAAUAAUGCCUUCAAAAUCCGCCAUCUUUGGCUUCACUUUUUGAUUAUACGUCACUGACUGAAGUCAGCCUUUCCAUGUAUAUAGUUCACUGGUUGUACCGCAUGCGCUUGGGAGAGCAAGUUGCAUGUAUAUCAAUACGAAUUACGAAAGUCAUCGCGUGUCCAGAUGUGUACCGAGCUGCACUGAUGAGGCGUAGGACGCCGAAACAUACACGUCUGCAGAUUAUACUAAACAUCCCAGCUAGUUGAUGAAGGAACGGAAGCCCAUUCUCAAACUUUAACUCUCCUGCUGAUAUUCAAUUUCUAGACCUACGACAUCCGCACCUACGUAGAAUCUACUCAUCUGCGAAUUACCAUCGUGUGACGUCAGCCCUGUAACUUCAUUGGUAAAUCUGAUGUUUUUAUUUUAUUUUUUAUGAUAAAGACGUGUCUAUAAUUUAAAUGUAUACAGGAAUAUUAAACAGUUGGGGGAGGGGGAAUUAAAGAGCAUGGAUAACAAACUUAUAUUUUAUUUGAAGUCUUAAAUUAUGGCUAAAUAACAAUGAAAUAAAAUUUGCAAGCAUAUCUCAUUUGAGUUUUGUUGUUUGAAGGA